UACGUAGGGUGCGAGCGUUAAUCGGAAUUAUUGGGCGUAAAGCGCUUGUAGGCGGCACGUCAAGUCGCGUGUGAAAUCCCCAGGCUUAACCUGGGAAGUGCGCGCGAAACUGACGAGCUUGAGUGCCGGAGAGGGUCGCGGAAUUCCCGGUGUAGCGGUGAAAUGCGCAGAUAUCGGGAAGAACACCCGUGGCGAAGGCGGCUCUCUGGGACGGUACUGACGCUGAGACGCGAAAGCGUGGGGAGCGAACAGG
rnacentral:rRNA from 1 species